AAGUAGAACGCUGAAGGAGGAGCUUGCUUCUCUGGAUGAGUUGCGAACGGGUGAGGAACGCGUAGGUAACCUGCCUGGUAGCGGGGGAUAACUAUUGGAAACGAUAGCUAAUACCGCAUAACAGUAGAUGUUGCAUGACAUUUGCUUAAAAGGUGCAAUUGCAUCACUACCAGAUGGACCUGCGUUGUAUUAGCUAGUUGGUGGGGUAACGGCUCACCAAGGCGACGAUACAUAGCCGACCUGAGAGGGUGACCGGCCACACUGGGACUGAGACACGGCCCAGACUCCUACGGGAGGCAGCAGUAGGGAAUCUUCGGCAAUGGACGGAAGUCUGACCGAGCAACGCCGCGUGAGUGAAGAAGGUUUUCGGAUCGUAAAGCUCUGUUGUAAGAGAAGAACGAGUGUGAGAGUGGAAAGUUCACACUGUGACGGUAUCUUACCAGAAAGGGACGGCUAACUACGUGCCAGCAGCCGCGGUAAUACGUAGGUCCCGAGCGUUGUCCGGAUUUAUUGGGCGUAAAGCGAGCGCAGGCGGUUAGAUAAGUCUGAAGUUAAAGGCUGUGGCUUAACCAUAGUACGCUUUGGAAACUGUUUAACUUGAGUGCAAGAGGGGAGAGUGGAAUUCCAUGUGUAGCGGUGAAAUGCGUAGAUAUAUGGAGGAACACCGGUGGCGAAAGCGGCUCUCUGGCUUGUAACUGACGCUG
rnacentral:rRNA from 1 species